AGAGUUUGAUCAUGGCUCAGAUUGAACGCUGGCGGAAUGCUUUACACAUGCAAGUCGAGCGGCAGCGCGGGGGCAACCCUGGCGGCGAGCGGCGAACGGGUGAGUAAUACAUCGGAACAUGUCCAGUUGUGGGGGAUAGCCCGGCGAAAGCCGGAUUAAUACCGCAUGAGCUCUGGCGAGGAAAGCGGGGGACCGAAAGGCCUCGCGCGACUGGGUUGGCCGAUGUCCGAUUAGCUAGUUGGUGGGGUAAAGGCCUACCAAGGCGACGAUCGGUAGCUGGUCUGAGAGGAUGAUCAGCCACACUGGGACUGAGACACGGCCCAGACUCCUACGGGAGGCAGCAGUGGGGAAUUUUGGACAAUGGGGGCAACCCUGAUCCAGCCAUUCCGCGUGAGUGAAGAAGGCCUUCGGGUUGUAAAGCUCUUUUGUCCGGAGCGAAACGGUUGUGGUGAAUAUCCACGACUACUGACGGUACCGGAAGAAUAAGCACCGGCUAACUACGUGCCAGCAGCCGCGGUAAUACGUAGGGUGCGAGCGUUAAUCGGAAUUACUGGGCGUAAAGCGUGCGCAGGCGGGCUUUUAAGCCAGACGUGAAAUCCCCGGGCUUAACCUGGGAAUGGCGUUUGGGACUGGGAGUCUGGAGUGCGGCAGAGGAGACUGGAAUUCCUGGUAGCAGUGAAAUGCGUAGAUAUCAGGAGGAACACCGACGGCGAAGGCAGGUCUCUGGGCUGACACUGACGCUCAUGCACGAAAGCGUGGGGAGCAAACAGGAUUAGAUACCCUAGUAGUCC
rnacentral:rRNA from 1 species